rnacentral:rRNA from 1 species
GACGAACCGUGCGAACGUUGUUCGGAAUCACUGGGCUUAAAGGGCGCGUAGGCGGUUGAUCAAGUCCGGGGUGAAAUCUUUCGGCUUAACCGGAAAAGUGCCUUGGAUACUGGUCAGCUGGAGGGAGGUAGGGGCAGUUGGAACUUCCAGUGGAGCGGUGAAAUGCGUUGAUAUUGGAAGGAACGCCGGUGGCGAAAGCGAGCUGCUGGACCUCUUCUGACGCUGAUGCGCGAAAGCUAGGGGAGCAAACGGGG